UACGUAGGUGACAAGCGUUGUCCGGAUUUACUGGGCGUAAAGAGCGCGCAGGCGGUCGUUCAAGUCGAGUGUGAAAGCCCCCGGCUCAACUGGGGAGGGUCAUUCGAUACUGAUCGACUCGAAGGCAGGAGAGGGUAGUGGAAUUCCCGGUGUAGUGGUGAAAUGCGUAGAUAUCGGGAGGAACACCAGUGGCGAAGGCGACUACCUGGCCUGUUCUUGACGCUGAGGCGCGAAAGCUAGGGAGCAACGGG
rnacentral:rRNA from 1 species